rnacentral:rRNA from 1 species
UACGUAGGGGGCAAGCGUUAUCCGGAUUUACUGGGUGUAAAGGGAGCGCAGACGGCGGGGCAAGUCUGGAGUGAAAGGCCGGGGCCCAACCCCGGGACCGCUCUGGAAACUGCCCGGCUGGAGUGCGGGAGAGGUAAGCGGAAUUCCUAGUGUAGCGGUGAAAUGCGUAGAUAUUAGGAGGAACACCAGUGGCGAAGGCGACUUUCUGGACUGUACCUGACGCUGAGGCGCGAAAGCGUGGGUAGCGAACGGG